rnacentral:rRNA from 1 species
UACGGGGGGGGCAAGCGUUGUUCGGAAUUACUGGGCGUAAAGGGCUCGUAGGCGGCCAACUAAGUCAGACGUGAAAUCCCCAGGCUCAACCUGGGAACUGCAUCUGAUACUGGAUGGCUUGAGAUUGGGAGAGGGAUGCGGAAUUCCAGGUGCAGCGGUGAAAUGCGUAGAUAUCUGGAGGAACACCGGUGGCGAAGGCGGCAUCCUGGACCAACACUGACGCUGAGGAGCGAAAGCCAGGGGAGCAAACGGG